GAUGAACGCUGGCGGCGUGCCUAAUACAUGCAAGUCGAGCGAACGGACGAGAAGCUUGCUUUUCUGAUGUUAGCGGCGGACGGGUGAGUAACACGUGGAUAACCUACCUAUAAGACUGGGAUAACUUCGGGAAACCGGAGCUAAUACCGGAUAAUAUUUUGAACCGCAUGGUUCAAAAGUGAAAGACGGUCUUGCUGUCACUUAUAGGUGGAUCCGCGCUGCAUUAGCUAGUUGGUAAGGUAACGGCUUACCAAGGCAACGAUGCAUAGCCGACCUGAGAGGGUGAUCGGCCACACUGGAACUGAGACACGGUCCAGACUCCUACGGGAGGCAGCAGUAGGGAAUCUUCCGCAAUGGGCGAAAGCCUGACGGAGCAACGCCGCGUGAGUGAUGAAGGUCUUCGGAUCGUAAAACUCUGUUAUUGGGGAAGAACAUAUGUGUAAGUAACUGUGCACAUCUUGACGGUACCUAAUCAGAAAGCCACGGCUAACUACGUG
rnacentral:rRNA from 1 species